CCAGCUGCUCCAAGCCAGGCUGAAGGAGGAGAAGGAGGAGUCGCCUGUGGUACGGUCCAGCCUGCAGAUGACGUGGCUCUGCAGCUUGGUUGAUGCGGUUGGUUGUGGUGGUGAUGGAGACCGCAGCUCAACCAGAGCGGUAGGAGGGCACCCACGGGGGCCAGGUGAGUACUGUCAUCUGCAUGAGCAAACCUGGUUCAUCACCACAUGUUUGCAAGAGGAAAAAGAAGGGGGGAUAAUUAUGUGUAUAAUGUUGUAAGGCAACGAUUCACAACCA
rnacentral:lncRNA from 1 species